rnacentral:rRNA from 1 species
UACGGAGGGGACUAGCGUUGUUCGGAAUUACUGGGCGUAAAGCGCACGUAGGCGGGUUUGUAAGUCAGGGGUGAAAUCCCGGGGCUCAACCUCGGAACUGCCUUUGAUACUGCAAAUCUCGAGUCCGGAAGAGGUGAGUGGAAUUCCUAGUGUAGAGGUGAAAUUCGUAGAUAUUAGGAAGAACACCAGUGGCGAAGGCGGCUCACUGGUCCGGUACUGACGCUGAGGUGCGAAAGCGUGGGGAGCAAACAGG